AGAGUUUGAUCCUGGCUCAGGAUGAACGCUGGCGGCGUGCCUAACACAUGCAAGUCGAACGGGGACAGACGGAAACCUAGUGAAGUCUGUCCGAGUGGCGGACGGGUGAGUAACGCGUGGAUAACCUGCCGCAUGCAGGGGGAUACCGGCUGGAAACAGCCGCUAAUACCGCAUAAGCGCACGGUGCCGCAUGGCAGAGUGCGAAAAGGAGAAAUCCGGCAAGCGAUGGAUCCGCGUCCGAUUAGCCAGUUGGCGGGGUAAGGGCCCACCAAAGCGACGAUCGGUAGCCGGCCUGAGAGGGCGGACGGCCACAUUGGGACUGAGACACGGCCCAGACUCCUACGGGAGGCAGCAGUGGGGGAUAUUGCACAAUGGGGGAAACCCUGAUGCAGCGACGCCGCGUGGGUGAAGAAGUAUUUCGGUAUGUAAAGCCCCAUCAGCAGGGAAGAAAGAAGACGGUACCUGACUAAGAAGCCCCGGCUAACUACGUG
rnacentral:rRNA from 1 species